rnacentral:lncRNA from 1 species
ACGAAUGAAUGAAAACUAUCAACUUAUACUUAUAGCCCUCGGUCUCAUGGAGCCGCAAAAUUGCAGCUCUUUUCCUUUAUUCUCCUCCCUUGCUUUGGCAGUUCUUAUUUUCUUUCUCUUCUCUUCGCUUUUUGGACGCACACUUGCACGAUCACCACUUUCACUUCUUUUUGUUCUUUUCUUUCCUUUUUUCUUUUUCUAAUGCUAGCUGGGCCCCACACGAAGGCGGACGCAGCCAGCAAUAAACACAGAUCCUGGAAAUCGCCCCCGGCUUCUCCUCAAGCUUCCAUCUGUUGCGUCGGCAUCAUCAGUAGAUCCGACGGACUGCUGCUUCGGGAUCGGUCCAGGUACCGUACCUUCUCUGUCGUCGUCACGGUUCCGGUUGCCAGAAGCCCGAUCAUCGUCCCCAUUUCUUCUUGAAAAUCGUCUGUUUCGCUGUGAAAAUUGACCUGUACUCUCAAUUUCGUGCUCCAGAGACGGAGGAGCUGUGGGGGAGAUGCAGGCCAAGAAUCCCAGGGAAGCAACGAUUCGGCAGGGAAAGUGUACGGAAAGGUGAGGUUUUCGAGAGCUGUCGUUGGGAUUAACAUAUCCUUCAUCUUUUGCGAUUGUUCCGGAUUAUUAUAUCAGCAGCCUCCGUGGGGCGACUCGCCUCUCUCUCUCUCUCUCCUCCUCCUCCUCCUCCUCCCUCCGUCUCUCCCUCUCUCAAAAGUCAUGAGCCUCUGUUUUCGAUCGUCUCGACUCGUUAACUUUCUGAGAAACUGUUGGCUCUUUUCCUCAACUCGUUAUCAUAUUGAGUCGGAUCUUCUUCGUCUCCCAAAUCUGUACUGGUCAAUGAUAUGUCCCUUUGUUCCAAACACAUCGAGGCCACCGAGGAACUUCUCCUUUUCACGCGCUCCUCUCAUGCUCGCCACACGAUACGCCUGCGCACACACUCAGUUUUUUACUUGCUAGUCUGUCACACCACUUGUGAACAUCUGAGUUUAGUAGUCGCAAAAGAUUGAUAUUUACUCAAAAUGUAACUGGGUUUUAAUUUCCUCAAACUUUUGCAGAAGUUGGUGGUGAAAGUGGAACUACAUGAUGGCAGCCAAGAAAGAUGAUGGCAAGAAAAAAGAGGGAAAGAAGAACGAAGAUCAAGUCAACAAUCAGGUAAAAGCCUCUCAAGCAUACUAUCCUGGACAGCCCAGUGCUCUUCGGCACCUUGAUCUCCUUUUCUCACUCCUCCACUUCCAACCUACCCGAUGAUCAUUCUCCUAUCAAUCCUAAAUGUGCGAAAAAGAUUGACUAGCCCCUGACAUAAAUUUGGAAUCUCCGUUGAUUUUGUCGCCUAUACAAACGGAUCUCCAGUUUCCAGAAGUAGCGUUCGUCGGUUUAAGGAAAGUAGCUUGUGUUCAUAACGAUUAUCAAUCAGAAGCUUUCUUGCAAAACUUUCCUUAAGAUUGGCAAUUUAAUCAUCACUUUCUAUAUUUGAAAUCCUAGACAGAUUACUAGUUGUGUUGUUCAAAAUAGUGGCGCUUGCUUCUGAAUGUUUAUGUGGGCGUUGAUCUUCAGAUUCUGAUGUUGUUCCACUGUAGUGGACUCUGUAAAUAUUUCAAGGUUUUGACGAUCUCCGCGUAUAAGAUUUGCCGAUUUCCAUAUGGUCAAUAUCCAUGAUGUUGUUGAGAUGCNNNNNNNNNNNNNNNNNNNNNNNNNNNNNNNNNNNNNNNNNNNNNNNNNNNNNNNNNNNNNNNNNNNNNNNNNNNNNNNNNNNNNNNNNNNNNNNNNNNNCAGUUGAUUGAAUCUGAAACCACUUCUCUCAUGAGUAGUUCUGUAAAAAGAUACUGUUAUGCACGUAUCAGAUUCAAGACGAACCAAAGAAGAUUUUAUCAAUUUUCAAAAUUUUAUUAAUAGGUUUUCUCAAUAGUAAUUGUUAAUCGUAUAGCAUGAUGGUCUCUACUCGUGUGAAUAAUAAUUGUAGGAAUAUCAAAUGAUGCUUCAAAUUCUUAUUCAUUAUUGCUUACAUAUGGCCAAGUUGUUUAAACGCUAGUCUCUCACACCACAUCUGAUCAUCUGAGUUCAGUAGUCAUAAAAGAUUGAUAUUUACUCGAAAUCUAACUGGGUUUUGCUUUCCUCAAACUUUUGCAUAAGUUGGUGGUGAAAGUGGAUCUAGGUGAUGAGGAAGACAGGACAAAGGCCAAGCGAGUAGUUUGGCAUAUUGCAGGUAUUGGCCCUCUCCCUGUCUGUUUUUUCCCUUCAUUCUCCCACUGAAUGUUUAAAUCGUCACUGUGAUAGUAAUCAUCCUGUGCUCGAAAUGUUGGGCUUCGCUAACCUUUGUCACGUAAUGCUUUCCAGGAUUUGAGCGUCUGACUGUGGACAAAAAGCACAGUAAACUAACAGUAUCUGGCACUAUCGACCCGGUCAAGGUGGUGAACAAACUGACGAAACUGCACGCAGAAAUGGUGAGCUUCGGAGCAGCCAAGGAAGACGAUGGCAAGAAAGAAGGGGGAAAGAAGAACGAAGAUCAAGUCGCCAGUCAGGUAAAAGCCUCUCAAGCAUACUAUCCUGGACAGGCCAGUGCUCUUCGGCUCCUUGAUCUCCUUUUUUCACUCCUACUCUUCGAACCUACCCGAUGAUCAUUCUCCAAUCAAUCCUAAAUGUGCAAAAAAGAUUGACUAUUCCCGAAGAUAAAUUUGGAAUCUCCGUUGAUUUUGUCGCCUAUACAAACGGAUCUCCAGUUUCCAGAAGUAGCGUUCUUCGGUUUAAGGAAAGUAGCUUGUGUUCAUAACGAUUAUCAAUCAGAAGCUUUCUUGCAAAACUGUCCUUAAGAUUGGCAAUUUAAUCAUCACUUUCUAUAUUUCAAAUCCUAGACAGAUUACUAGUUGCGUUGUUCAAAAUAGUGUCGCUUGCAUCUGAAUGUUUAUGUGGGCGUUGAUCUUCGGAUUCUGAUGUUGUUUCACUGUAGUGGACUCUGUAAAUAUUUCAAGGUUUUGAAUAUCUCCACGUAUGAGAUUUGCCGAUAUCCAUAUGGUCAAUAUCCAUGAUGUUGUUGAGAUGCUAUCCAAAGAUAUUUGAACAACAACAGAAGGGUUCUGAAAAAUGUCAAGAUAUUCUCUUCUCUUCAUGGUCUCUAUAUUCAAAGAGCAGUUGAUUGAAUCUGAAACAACUUCUCUUCAUGAGUAGUUCCUGUAAAAAGAUACUGUUAUGCACGUAUCAGAUUCAAGACGAACCAAAGAAGAUUUUAUCAAUUUCAAAAUUUUAUUAAUAGGUUUUCUCAAUAGUAAUUGUUAAUCGUAUAGCAUGAUGGUCUCUACUCGUGUGAAUAAUAAUUGUAGGAAUAUCAAAUGAUGCUUCAAAUUCUUAUUCAUUAUUGAUUACAUAUGGCCAAGUUGUUUAAACGCUAGUCUGUCACACCACAUCUGAUCGUCUGAGUUCAGUAGUCAUAAAAGAUUGAUAUUUACUCGAAAUCUAACUGGGUUUUGCUUUCCUCAAACUUUUGCAGAAGUUGGUGGUGAAAAUGGAUAUAGGUGAUGAGGAAGCCAAGACAAAGGCCAAGCGAGUAGUUUGGCAUAUUGCAGGUAUUGGCCCUCUCCCUGUCUGUUUUUUCCCUUCAUUCUCCCACUGAAUGUUUAAAUCGUCACUGUGAUAGUAAUCAUCCUGUGCUCGAAAUGUUUGGCUUCGCUAACCUUUGUCACGUAAUGCUUUCCAGGAUUUGAGCGUCUGACUGUGGACACAGAGCUCAAUAAACUAACAGUAUCUGGCACUAUGGACCCGGUCAAGGUGGUGAACAAACUGACGAAACUGCACGCAGAAAUGGUGAGCUUCGGAGCAGCCAAGGAAGACGAUGGCAAGAAAGAAGGGGGAAAGAAGAACGAAGAUCAAGUCACCAGUCAGGUAAAAGCCUCUCAAGCAUACUAUCCUGGACAGGCCAGUGCUCUUCGGCUCCUUGAUCUCCUUUUUUCACUCCUACACUUCGAACCUACCCGAUGAUCAUUCUCCAAUCAAUCCUAAAUGUGCAAAAAAGAUUGACUAUUCCCGAAGAUAAAUUUGGAAUCUCCGUUGAUUUUGUCGCCUAUACAAACGGAUCUCCAGUUUCCAGAAGUAGCGUUCUUCGGUUUAAGGAAAGUAGCUUGUGUUCAUAACGAUUAUCAAUCAGAAGCUUUCUUGCAAAACUGUCCUUAAGAUUGGCAAUUUAAUCAUCACUUUCUAUAUUUCANNNNNNNNNNNNNNNNNNNNNNNNNNNNNNNNNNNNNNNNNNNNNNNNNNNNNNNNNNNNNNNNNNNNNNNNNNNNNNNNNNNNNNNNNNNNNNNNNNNNNNNNNNNNNNNNNNNNNNNNNNNNNNNNNNNNNNNNNNNNNNNNNNNAGAUUUGCCCCAUCCAAUGCAAUAUCCAUGAUGUUGUUGAGAUGCUAUCCAAAGAUAUUUGAACAACAACAGAAGGGUUCUGAAAAAUGUCAAGAUAUUCUCUUCUCUUCAUGGUCUCUAUAUUCAAAGAGCAGUUGAUUGAAUCUGAAACAACUUCUCUUCAUGAGUAGUUCCUGUAAAAAGAUACUGUUAUGCACGUAUCAGAUUCAAGACGAACCAAAGAAGAUUUUAUCAAUUUCAAAAUUUUAUUAAUAGGUUUUCUCAAUAGUAAUUGUUAAUCGUAUAGCAUGAUGGUCUCUACUCGUGUGAAUAAUAAUUGUAGGAAUAUCAAAUGAUGCUUCAAAUUCUUAUUCAUUAUUGAUUACAUAUGGCCAAGUUGUUUAAACGCUAGUCUGUCACACCACAUCUGAUCGUCUGAGUUCAGUAGUCAUAAAAGAUUGAUAUUUACUCGAAAUCUAACUGGGUUUUGCUUUCCUCAAACUUUUGCAUAAGUUGGUGGUGAAAGUGGAUCUAGGUGAUGAGGAAGACAGGACAAAGGCCAAGCGAGUAGUUUGGCAUAUUGCAGGUAUUGGCCCUCUCCCUGUCUGUUUUUUCCCUUCAUUCUCCCACUGAAUGUUUAAAUCGUCACUGUGAUAGUAAUCAUCAUGUGCUCGAAAUGUUGGGCUUCGCUAACCUUUGUCACGUAAUGCUUUCCAGGAUUUGAGCGUCUGACUGUGGACAAAAAGCACAGUAAACUAACAGUAUCUGGCACUAUGGACCCGGUCAAGGUGGUGAACAAACUGACGAAACUGCACGCAGAAAUGGUGAGCUUCGGAGCAGCCAAAGAAGACGAUGGCAAGAAAGAAGGGGGAAAGAAGAACGAAGAUCAAGUCGCCAGUCAGGUAAAAGCCUCUCAAGCAUACUAUCCUGGACAGGCCAGUGCUCUUCGGCUCCUUGAUCUCCUUUUUUCACUCCUACUCUUCGAACCUACCCGAUGAUCAUUCUCCAAUCAAUCCUAAAUGUACAAAAAAGAUUGACUAUUCCCGAAGAUAAAUUUGGAAUCUCCGUUGAUUUUGUCGCCUAUACAAACGGAUCUCCAGUUUCCAGAAGUAACGUUCUUCAAUUUAAGGAAAGUAGCUUGUGUUCAUAACGAUUAUCAAUCAGAAGCUUUCUUGCAAAACUGUCCUUAAGAUUGGCAAUUUAAUCAUCACUUUCUAUAUUUGAAAUCCUAGACAGAUUACUAGUUGUGUUGUUCAAAAUAGUGGCGCUUGCGUCUGAAUGUUUAUGUGGGAGUUGAUCUUCAGAUUCUCAUGUUGUUCCACUGUAGUGGACUCUGUAAAUAUUUCAAGGUUUUGACGAUCUCCGCGUAUCAGAUUUGCCGAUAUCCAUAUGGUCAAUAUCCAUGAUGUUGUUGAGAUGCUAUACAAAGAUAUUUGAACAACAACAGAAGGGUUCUGAAAAAUGUCAAGAUAUUGACUUCUCUUCAUGGUCUCUAUAUUCAAAGAGCAGUUGAUUGAAUCUGAAACAACUUCUCUUCAUGAGUAGUUCCUGUAAAAAGAUACUCAUAUGCACGUAUCAGAUUCAAGACGAACCAAAGAAGAUUUUAUCAAUUUCAAAAUUUUAUUGAUAGGUUUUCUCAAUAGUAAUUGUUAAUCGUAUAGCAUGAUGGUCUCUACUCGUGUGAAUAAUAAUUGUAGGAAUAUCAAAUGAUGCUUCAAAUUCUUAUCCAUUAUUGAUUACAUAUGGCCAAGUUGUUUAAACGCUAGUCUGUCACCCCACAUGUGAUCGUCUGAGUUCAGUAGUCGUAAAAGAUUGAUAUUUACUCGAAAUCUAACUGGGUUUUGCUUUCCUCAAACUUUUGCAGAAGUUGGUGGUGAAAAUGGAUAUAGGUGAUGAGGAAGCCAAGACAAAGGCCAAGCGAGUAGUUUGGCAUAUUGCAGUAUUGGCCCUCUCCCUGUCUGUUUUUUCCCUUCAUUCUCCACUGAAUGU